rnacentral:lncRNA from 1 species
CCUGACACUCCCCUUAAGGAGUCUCAAAGUGGCUAACAAUCUAUUUUCCCUUCCUCCCCCACAACAGACACUCUGUGAGGUGAGUGAGGCUGAGAGACUUCAGAGAAGUGUGACUAGCCCAAGGUCACCCAGCAGCUGCAUGUGGAGGAGCGGGGAAGCGAACCUGGUUCACCAGAUUACGAGUCCACCGCUCUUAAACACUACACCAUGUUGGGUCUGGUAAAAUGCUUGCCAGUAUUGCACACAUACUCUGUAAGUACUUACUAUCCCACAUGCAGAGCUGGCAUUCCAUUGGCCCAGCCAGGGGGGCUUCUGUGCAGACUCAUGUUGAAUGUGAUUCUUAGGUUUGGUGAUACGCAAAAUGGUUGAAACAACUGCAUUUAUACGUAACAGAACAUACAUGGAACAACUACCCAAGCAGCCCUAAAAGGGUGAGAUUCUACCUAUGGUGCCAUCAGCCUGAAAGUUGAAUGACUUGGGCAUGUACUUAAUGGAUGCACUAGUAUCCAGUGUACUCCAAGAUUAAACAAUUUCUAGUAUUCUAGACACCAUGUGUAUGUUCUUAUACCACACACACUAUGCAGUUUUUAAUAAGUCACUUAUUGGAAGUGAUUCACACACCUCCC